CUACGGGCCGCUGCAGUGAGGAAUUUUGCGCAAUGGGGGCAACCCUGACGCAGCAACGCCGCGUGAGUGAAGAAGGCCUUUGGGUCGUAAAACUCUGUCAAUGGGGAAGAAGUUACUAUGUUUAAAUAGAGUGUAGUAUUGACGGUACCCAUGAAGGAAGCACCGGCUAACUCCGUGCCAGCAGCCGCGGUAAUACGGGGGGUGCAUGCGUUAUUCGGAAUUAUUGGGCGUAAAGGGCACGCAGGCGGUCUUGCCAGUCAGAUGUGAAAGCCCGGGGCUCAACCCUGGAAGUGCAUUUGAAACUAGAAGACUUGAGUACGGUAGAGGAAAGGGGAAUUCCUGGUGUAGAGGUGAAAUUCGUAGAUAUCAGGAGGAACACCGGUGGCGAAGGCGCCUUUCUGGACCGAAACUGACGCUGAGGUGCGAAGGCGUGGGUAGCGAACAGGAUUAGAUACCCCUGUAGUC
rnacentral:rRNA from 1 species